CAGAUUUACAAAAUAUAAUUAUAUUCCAAGUUAUACAUACAGGAUACAACAGCAAUGCAUUGUGAAUUUAGAAUGAACUAGUCAUGGUGGUAAGAUCGCUGACAAGUCUUUUAAAACCAGAAAUCAAGACACAUUGACCCAAUGGGCCCAAUCCUAAACGCCCCCUAGACCCUAUGCCAUAUGCACUUGUGGAGAUCGGAGAGGUUUUGUCAGGUGUAAGCAAUAUGGUAAUAGCUCUACCACUCAAUGAUAGGCUAGGUGGAAGUAAACCCAUAUUGCUUACAACCAAUUAGAUGAUCUUACAUCAUUACAUUACAUUAAGGUCUAGAUGUCAAUUUGGGAUUGGGCCCUUCUCCAAUGGUCCAAUGAUAGGAAGUCAGCUGUAUAUAGUUCUACAUUCAGCCGUUUUGUCUUUGGUAACCUCAGUCAUCUUGUCCCUAGAUCUGCCAACAUGGAGGGGUUGUCAAGGUGACGGUAUUACCACCAGACCAGAGGUCACUAGUCACGAAGACAGUCAAAUUCCACGUGACAGUUUAGACACGGUAAUUAGGCUUCUCUGAUGCUACUGAUGGUCAUUAGUAGCCUACCAAAUUAACUGCCUGGUACUCAGCACUGUAUCGUCCCUUUAAAUCACUCUGACAUCAAUGUAUUAAAACAUCUCAUCAAAACACUUCAUGAGAGCCCAUGAGCUCAUGUUGCUCAACAUUUCUAUAGGCUAUGUAACUGCGUGAGAAAACAGAGUGAUGGCUUCUAUUAAAAAGAGGAGUAACUGCGUGAGAAAACAGAGUGAUGGCCUCUAUUAAAAAGAGGAGGAUCUCAUCAGCUUUCUAUAGGCUAGGCCUAUUAUAUUUAUAAACUUUCCUAAUAUUAAGCACAUUGCUUCUCUUUACAACAGGAGUAUAGCCUACCUGGCUGGCAUGAAAAUGAACCACGGGGAAAAGCAUCCUCCAUUUUGCUAUUUAAGUGCAUAGUUGACAUUCUUUCCCCCCCAUACCCCCAUUUCGAUACAGGUGCAUGAUAAUGGUCCAUUCUAAAUCAAAACUAAUUUGACACACAUAUAAUUUAGUAUAUGUAAAGACAAGAUUAAAUUAAGAAUAGUGUGAUGGGUGACAAUAUUAGCCUAUCACUUGUGGAUUAUGUAUUAUCACAUGCGAAUGACGCCCAGCUUGUGCAGUAAGGCGAGGAAUAACUCAUGCGUUUUUUUGCGACUUCUUCAAAUCGUAGGUCGCACACCGUAUGUAGCCCAGCCCAUAGGCCUAUAUGUUUUGAUAAGGUUUUUUAUCACAACUAAAGUGGCCAAAUAACUCCUUAAAACGAAGCACAGGGAGCGCAGGUAGUCUAGUGGUUAGAGUGUAGGGGCGGCAGGUAGCCUAGUGGUUAGAGCGUAGGGGCGGCAGGUAGCCUAGUGGUUAGAGCGUCGGGGGGGCAGGUAGCCUAGUGGUUAGAGCGUAGGGGCAGCAGGUAGCCUAGUGGUUAAAGUGUAGGGGGCGGCAGGUAGCCUGGUGGUUAGAGUGUAGGGGCGGCAGGUAGCCUAGUGGUUAGAGCGUAGGGGCAGCAGGUAGCCUAGUGGUUAGAGCGUAGGGGCGGCAGGUAGUCUGGUGGUUAGAGCGUAGGGGCGGCAGGUAGCCUGGUGGUUAGAGCGUAGGGGCGGCAGGUAGCCUAGUGGUUAGAGUGUAGGGGCGGCAGGUAGCCUAGUGGUUAGAGUGUAGGGGCGGCAGGUAGCCUAGUGGUUAAAGUGUAGGGGCGGCAGGUAGCCUAGUGGUUAGAGCGUAGGGGCGGCAGGUAGCCUGGUGGUUAGAGCGUAGGGGCGGCAGGUAGCCUAGUGGUUAGAGUGUAGGGGCGGCAGGUAGCCUAGUGGUUAAAGCGUUGGGCCAGUAACCCGAAAGGUUGCAAAAUCAAAUCCCCUGAGCUGACAAGGUAAAAAUCUAUCAUUCUGUCCCUGAACAGGGCAGUUAACCCACUGUUCCAAGGUCGUCGUUCAAAAUAAGAAUUUGUUCUUAACUGACUUGCCUAGUUAAAUAAAGGAUAAUGAUAAUAAAUAUUAAACCGCUUUAUAACCGGUGCCUAACUGGCAGACAUAAGCUGUGUGAGUUUCACGUUUGGGGAAGAUCAUUUUCACCAUAAAUAUGCACUUUUUAUAAUAAACUAUUAAAUGCACCUUUUAAAAUAAACUAUUAAAUGCACCUUUUAAAAUAAACUAUUAAAUGCACCUUUUAAAAUAAACUAUUAAAUGCACCUUUUUAAAAUAAACUAUUAAAUGUGUGCGCAUUGAUACGCUUCUAAUGUGAAGAAAAAGACCAAUAGAAAAAGCCUUAAUAGUUUAUCAACAUUUUAAGCUAAACGUUCUGAUCUGUUGCAUCAGCCUCACUGCUUUAAAAAAAAUAAAGAAAUUGGAUGCGAGUUGCUGUAUUCAAUUGGGAUCUAUCGCAUCCCACAACUGUCCUACAGUAUAUUUAUUUAUUUAUUGCACUGAAGAACAGUUGACCAAUAGCAUAGGUCAACUUUUGCACUAUGGGGGGAUAGUACAUUGGGCAUAAGCUAG
ensembl:lncRNA